UACGAAGGGGGCUAGCGUUGCUCGGAAUCACUGGGCGUAAAGCGCACGUAGGCGGCUUUUUAAGUCAGGGGUGAAAUCCUGGAGCUCAACUCCAGAACUGCCUUUGAUACUGGCGAUCUCGAGUCCGGGAGAGGUGAGUGGAACUGCGAGUGUAGAGGUGAAAUUCGUAGAUAUUCGCAAGAACACCAGUGGCGAAGGCGGCUCACUGGCCCGAUACUGACGCUGAGGUGCGAAAGCGUGGGGAGCAAACAGGG
rnacentral:rRNA from 1 species